AUAAAUACUGAUCCAGUAACUUAUAAGAAUGAUAUAUAAUCAAUAAAUUAUAAUAAUAUAUAAUAUAUAAUAUAUAUAUAAAUUGAUUAAAAAUAAAGUUCAUAAAUAAUAAAAAUAAUGAUAUUAAUUAUCUUAUUAAAUAAUAAGAAAAUAUAUAUUUAUAUAUAUUUUUUAAUAAUCCUGGCCUAUAUUUGUGCCAGCAGUCGCGGUAAUACAAAGAGGGUAAGCAUUAAUCAUAAUGGUUUAAAGGAUCCGUAGAAUUAAUAUUAUUAUAUAUAUAUAUAUAAUAAAUUAGAGUUAAUAAAUUUAAUUAAAGAAUUAUAAUAGUAAAGAUGAAAUAAUUAUAAUAAUUAUAAGACUGAUAUAUGUGAAAAUAUUAAUUAAAUAUUAACUGACAUUGAGGGAUGAAAACUAAAGUAGCAAAACAGAUUCGAUACCUGUGUAGUUUUAGUAGUAAACUAUGAAUACUAUUAUUUAUAUAUAAUAUAUAAAUAAUAAACGAAAGUGUAAGUAUUCCACCUGAAGAGUACGUUAAUGAAACUCAAAACAAUAGACGGUUAUAGUCAACAACAGUGGAGCAU
rnacentral:rRNA from 1 species